GCCGCGUGUGUGAAGAAGGCCUUCGGGUUGUAAAGCACUUUCAGUUGUGAGGAAAGCUUGGUGGUUAAUACCCAUCAGGUAUGACGUUAGCAACAGAAGAAGGACCGGCUAACUCCGUGCCAGCAGCCGCGGUAAUACGGAGGGUCCGAGCGUUAAUCGGAAUUACUGGGCGUAAAGCGCACGCAGGCGGUUUGUUAAGCUAGAUGUGAAAGCCCCGGGCUCAACCUGGGAAUAGCAUUUAGAACUGGCAGACUAGAGUCUUGGAGAGGGGAGUGGAAUUUCUGGUGUAGCGGUGAAAUGCGUAGAUAUCAGAAGGAACAUCAGUGGCGAAGGCGACUCCCUGGCCAAAGACUGACGCUCAUGUGCGAAAGUGUGGGUAGCGAACAGGAUUAGAUACCCUGGUAGUCCACACCGUAAACGCUGUCUACUAGCUGUUUGUGGAUUUA
rnacentral:rRNA from 1 species